rnacentral:rRNA from 1 species
CCCUUAGAUGUUCUGGGCUGCACGCGCGCUACACUGAUGCAUUCAACAAGCCUAGCCUUGACCGAGAGGUCCGGGUAAUCUUUGAAACUGCAUCGUGAUGGGGCUAGAUUAUUGCGAUUAUUAAUCUUCAACGAGGAAUGCCUAGUAAGCGUGAUUCAUCAAAUCGCGUUGAUUACGUCCCUGCCCUUUGUACACACCGCCCGUCGCUCCUACCGAUUGAAUGUGUUGGUGAGGAGCUCGGAUUGGCAGCAGUUGGUGGUUCGCCACCGGCUAUUGCUGAGAAGUCCUCCAAACCGCCCCAUUUAGAGGAAGGAGAAGUCGUAACA